UACAGAGGUGGCAAGCGUUGUUCGGAAUUACUGGGCGUAAAGGGCGCGUAGGCGGCCCACUAAGUCAGACGUGAAAUCCCCCGGCUUAACCUGGGAACUGCGUCUGAUACUGGAGGGCUUGAGUAUGGGAGAGGGAUGUAGAAUUCCAGGUGUAGCGGUGAAAUGCGUAGAUAUCUGGAGGAAUACCGGUGGCGAAGGCGGCAUCCUGGACCAUUACUGACGCUGAGGCGCGAAAGCGUGGGGAGCAAACAGG
rnacentral:rRNA from 1 species